rnacentral:rRNA from 1 species
GUCCACGCCGUAAACGAUGUCGACUAGCCGUUGGGCCCUUAUGGGGUUUAGUGGCGCAGCUAACGCAUUAAGUCGACCGCCUGGGGAGUACGGCCGCAAGGUUAAAACUCAAAUGAAUUGACGGGGGCCCCGCACAAGCGGUGGAGCAUGUGGUUUAAUUCGAUGCAACGCGAAGAACCUUACCUACCCUUGACAUCCCCAGAAUUUGGCAGAGAUGCCUUAGUGCCUUCGGGAACUGGGAGACAGGUGCUGCAUGGCUGUCGU